rnacentral:lncRNA from 1 species
GUGUUUGAAAGAGCUUGUUGGAUAGGAAAUCAAUCUGUGUGUGUGUGAAAGCGCUUGUCAGAUUGGAAAGCCAAUCUUCGUGUGUCUGAAAGAGCUUGUCAGAUUGGAAAGCCAAUCUUCGUGUGUCUGAAAAAGCUUGUUGGAUAGGAAAUCAAUCUGUGUGUGUGUCUGAAAGAGCUUGUCAGAUUGGGAAGUCAAUCUUCAUGUGUCUGAAAGAGCUUGUCAGAUUGGGAAGUCAAUCUUUGUGUGUCUGAAAGAGCUUGUCAUAUUGGGAAGUCAAUCUUCAUGUGUCUGAAAGAGCCUAUGGGAUUGGGAUGUCAAUCUUCAUGUGAAACAGCUUGUUGUAUUUGGAAAUCAAUAUUCCUGUGUGAAAGAGCUUGUCUGAUUGGGAAACCAAUCUUUGAGUGUGUGAAGGAGAUAGUCAAAUUUGAGAUCAAUCUUCAUUAUUGUUAAAGGGCUUGUUUGAUAGGGAAAUCAAUCUUUAAGUUUGUGAAAGAGCUUGUCUGUUAUGAAAUAUAUGUUUGAGAGUGAAGAAACUUUAUGGAUAGGAAAUCA